rnacentral:rRNA from 2 species
GUUAUAGGGUCAAGCAAUGAAGCGCACACGGUGGAUGCCUAGGCAGUCAGAGGCGAUGAAAGACGUGGUAGCCUGCGAUAAGGUUCGGUGAGGUGGCAACAACCUGUGACCCGGACAUCUCUGAAUGGGGAAACCCACUCAUCAUCAGAUGAGUAUCUUACGCUGAAUAUAUAGGCGUAAGAGGCGAACCAGGGGAACUGAAACAUCUAAGUACCCUGAGGAAAAGAAA